GAUGAACGCUGGCGGCGUGCCUAAUACAUGCAAGUCGAGCGAACAGACGAGGAGCUUGCUCCUCUGACGUUAGCGGCGGACGGGUGAGUAACACGUGGAUAACCUACCUAUAGGACUGGGAUAACUUCGGGAAACCGGAGCUAAUACCGGAUAAUAUAUUGAACCGCAUGGUUCAAUAGUGAAAGACGGUUUUGCUGUCACUUAUAGAUGGAUCCGCGCCGCAUUAGCUAGUUGGUAAGGUAACGGCUUACCAAGGCAACGAUGCGUAGCCGACCUGAGAGGGUGAUCGGCCACACUGGAACUGAGACGCGGUCCAGACUCCUACGGGAGGCAGCAGUAGGGAAUCUUCCGCAAUGGGCGAAAGCCUGACGGAGCAACGCCGCGUGAGUGAUGAAGGUCUUCGGAUCGUAAAACUCUGUUAUUAGGGAAGAACAAAUGUGUAAGUAACUAUGCACGUCUUGACGGUACCUAAUCAGAAAGCCACGGCUAACUACGUG
rnacentral:rRNA from 1 species